AAGACUAUACUUUACAGGCUCAUUUCUGUAGUAGCAUAGUUCUUCCUACUUUCCAAUCUUGGAGAGUCCAAACCCACGAUGAUGAGGUUCCACCCUGUCUUAGAGGU
rnacentral:snoRNA from 1 species